GACGAACGCUGGCGGCGUGCUUAACACAUGCAAGUCGAACGGAAAGGCCCUGCUUUUGUGGGGUGCUCGAGUGGCGAACGGGUGAGUAACACGUGAGUAACCUGCCCUUGACUUUGGGAUAACUUCAGGAAACUGGGGCUAAUACCGGAUAGGAGCUCCUGCUGCAUGGUGGGGGUUGGAGAGUUUCGGCGGUUGGGGAUGGACUCGCGGCUUAUCAGCUUGUUGGUGGGGUAGUGGCUUACCAAGGCUUUGACGGGUAGCCGGCCUGAGAGGGUGACCGGACACAUUGGGACUGAGAUACGGCCCAGACUCCUACGGGAGGCAGAAGUGGGGAAUAUUGCACAAUGGGCGGAGGCCUGAUGCAGCAACGCCGCGUGCGGGAUGACGGCCUUCGGGUUGUAAACCGCUUUCGCCUGUGACGAAGCGUGAGUGACGGUAAUGGGUAAAGAAGCACCGGCUAACUACGUG
rnacentral:rRNA from 1 species